CCUACGGGUGGCAGCAGUGGGGAAUAUUGCACAAUGGGGGAAACCCUGAUGCAGCGACGCCGCGGGAGUGAAGAAGUAUUUCGGUAUGUAAAGCUCUAUCAGCAGGGAAGAAAAUGAAGGUACCUGCUUAAGAAGCACCGGCUAACUACGUGCCAGCAGCCGCGGUAAUACGUAGGGGGCAAGCGUUAUCCGGAUUGACUGGGAGUAUAGGGAUCGUAGACGGCAGCACAAGUCUGGAGUGAAAUGCCGGGGCUUAACCACGGAACUGCUUUGGUAACUGUGCAGCUAGAGUGCAGGAGAGGUAAGUGGAAUUCCUAGGGUAGCGGUGAAAGGCGUAGAUAUUAGGAGGAACACCAGUGGCGAAGGCGGCUUACUGGACUGUAACUGACGUUGAGGCUCGAAAGCGUGGGGAGCAAACAGGAUUAGAUACCCUUGUAGUC
rnacentral:rRNA from 1 species